rnacentral:lncRNA from 1 species
CUCUUUCGAUUCAGAUUCCGAUUCCACAAUCUCCCUCGAAGGGUCAACAACUCUUGUGUCCAAGUCUUUGCUAGCCAUGGCUACCUUGCUCUUUGACCUUGUGUUGUACAGAUGACUCGCCAAAGUUCCACAAACUAACCACCCUCUGUUAUGAUAAUAAUGAAAGUAACAAAGGGGAGCAAAACAAAGCCAACAUAUUAGCGUUAGGGCAUUUAUCAGAUAGAAAUAUCAUAUUGCAUGCAAUACCCCUAGCAACAAUUAACGGUUCUAGAAUGACUUCGAGGGUUACAAUGUCAUUUGGCAUCAUCUCAAUGUUGUUCAUUUCAAUUUUCUCUUUUCUUUCUUUUCUAGUACUUCUUGGCUCUCUCAUUUUCCUCUCUCUUUUUCUUUUUAAUUGUCACUCUUUUCCUUCCUCUCACUUCUCACAUUCACAAUUUCAUCUUCUUUUUUUCUCUUUUUUUAGCCUUUUAAAAAAAUGAUUCGAUCGAACCCUAUGUAGGUUGUCUACGUAUCAUGUCCCUCAUGAAUCAGAUCAAAUGUAGUUCUAAAAAAGUAAUGGACAAAAUAAACUAAGAAACAAAAAUCUUUUUGAAUUUUUCAUUUUUAAUUUUUUUUGGUUUUUCAAAUACAAAAUAGAAUUUACGAUAAUGAAAGACUCAAAAAACUCAAAUAGACUAUGAUAGUCUCUGACAUCACCUAAAAGACCCAGUACUACAGGACAGGAUUACAAAGGGAAAGACAAACAUAAAAACAGACUCAAAACAUAAAAAGGCUCUUUAAGCAGCUCCUGAAUGCAAUAGUCCUGGGGUAUCUGUCAUGCUCGAGUACUAGUACAUGGAUACACACCUGAAUGAGAAAAAUAAGACCAAAUAGAUUAGUGACUCAAGACAUUAUGGAACCUCCUAUUGACACAUGCAAGAAAUGAUUGGUCUAUUUUUGCAAAAUGGCAUAUGUGGCCAAAAGUGACUAUUAGUGCUAACUCAAAAUAAAGGUGACCUCAAAGACAAUGAAAAUACCUCACUAAGACUUAUAUGGAUUCAAACUCCCGAUAAUCAUGACCCAAAAUUAAUUUGCAGAAAUAACUCAUUCUGGCAAAAAUGACCAAUAUGGCCAAAAGUGGAUAAAGAUGCAAACUCAAAAAGGAUGAACCUUAAAGUAAUAUGACACCUAGUUGUGGACUCAAGAACCUAAGACAUGGGUCAUUGAACCACUUUUGCAAAAAUGACCCCAUUUUGCAAGAAUGACCGAUGUGGCCAAAAGUGACUAGACAUGCAAAUUCAACAGGAAUGGGCCUUGAAGUAAGGAGACAGCUAAUUGUGGAUUCUAGACUCUCCAAAUUCGAUUCAACAAGCCACUUCGCAAAAUAGCUCUAAUUUGCGACAAGACCGAUAUGGCCAAAAGUGGCUAGACAUGUAAGAUUUGGCUAAGACCCUACGAAGCCAAGAACCUAAGACUUACUAUGAAGACCGGACCCUAUGUGGGCUGCCUACGUAUCCCGCCCUGAAAGACGAGAAUCAGGUAUGCGUAGUUCAGGAAGAUUGAAUACAGAAAGUAAUUAAAAAAAACUGAUUUGGAGAAAACAUAUUUUUUUUGUUUUUCUUUUGUUUUUUGUUUUUUGUUUUUUGUGAAAUAUGUAAAAUCUUUUUGGAUUUUCUUUUCUCUUUUUUUUUUGAAAAAUGAUGGGAAAGUGCAAAAUCUUUUUGGAUUUUUCAUUUUCAUUUUUUGUCUUUUUCUUGAAAAAAAUUGUGAAAGAAAAAUAUAAUUGGGCUUUACUUGUUUCAUCUUUAUACUUCACCCUCUUUCCCAAACAUCAGUCCGCCAAAUGACCUCCUACCCUGAAAGAUGCAACAUGUAUCACAUAAGAAUGAUUGAAUGUCUUUUUGGGUCACGAGCCCAUUUUGACAAAAUUUGGAUAGGCCUCCUACAGAGGGACACGGUACCUGGGACCGAACCCUGCUAAGUGUAAAUGACAUGAUGCAAAUAAGCAUGACCUAAAGGCUGACCUAAGUUUGGGGUUCACUAGACAAGGCAAUUCGGGGCGACACGUGGUCGAUGGCGGUUGGUCUAACUGUCCGUCCACUCCCACGCCACCCCCUAAAGACACGGGUAACUCACAAAAAGGUCAUGUAUGCUCAAACGUACUCCGGAAGACUUGUUACAGAAAAAGACCCAUGGUUAUGUAGAUGAUGACAAUUAUAAAGCGGUAAACACAUAAGGAAAAGCAUAAACAAAUAACCAACAAAACAGCAAAUAAGACAAACAAACCAAAUAGACAAAGCAAAUAAAAAAAAUAAACACCUCAACCGAAUAUCCUAAAAGUCAACAAGAUCAAGUAUCAGCUCGAACCUGCAACUCCCCAGCAGAGUCGUCAAAGCUGUCAAACCCCUUUUUCACAAACCUCACUAACCCUCUUUAAAUCAAUAAAAAGAUUUUUGAAGCUCAAAAGGGUUUUCAAACUUGAAAAGUGACAAAGAAUUGUGUUCAAAAGGAUUAACUCAGAGUCGCCACCUAACAUUGGUUUCGGUGUGCUAGGUCACCGUAUUUUUUAAAAAUGAUUUUUCCUUUUAAAACACUUUGGACUCUAAAACUAAGUCUGCACCAUAGAUUCAGGUAAGGGAGUACAAUUGACUCGGGGAGAAGGUAUUAGGCAUUCCCCGAGUUCCGUAACUAGUAUGGUUGCAUACAUGAUCAAGUUGGCAUUCAAAAUAUUCAAACUGAGAUAAAAAACACAGAGAAGGGAAAAUAAACACACAAGAGGCUCGAGGUCAUCUCCACCUAAAAAAGGAGGUAAAAAUUAAAUAAAAUAAGAAUAAAAAGUACUACGAGUUCGCUUUCGGCCUCCAAUUACAGAAUACUACGGGGCAUUCCCCGGAAUAAAAUAUAUACAAAUCCUUUGGGGCAUUCCCUGGAUAAAUUUAACUAAGGGAACGACCUCUCACCUCAAAACUAACAAAAAUCCUAAGGCUUGCCUACCCAAGUGUGUUCGGCCUAAACAUACUCCUAUCAAAGAAAUAAAAAUGAAAUAGUGAACAUGUAAAACUCAAAUCUCAGUUGUUUUUUACUUAAGAUCCCAAAAAUAUGUCCCCAUACAAAAUCACGUCUUUCUAAAGUAUCUUCAUGUCAAUUAACAGAAUGGACAAGAAAAUUAAUGAAAACAUUUAGAGCAAUCAUGAGGAAUUGAAAAGCAACAUACAUUGAAUUAACAAAAAAUUACAAUGAGAUCAAACCCCUAAACAAAAUAAAUACUCCAGCACUAAAAUUCUUGUUUUCAUGAUUCUUAUGAAAGAAAGCAAUAGCAUACUGCUACACUUUAUCGGAAAACAAAAAUGAGUGAUCCUAACAAUUCAUAUUAGUCGCGGCGUGAUGGCGCCUUGUUAAAAUUAAAGCUAGCAGGAAGCACCCAAGACUAACUAGAGGCAUGAGUCACGGAUUCCAAUUUAGAGCACAUGAAACUUACACAUGAAAUUGAAAUGAGCCUAAUAGUUCAAUCGAAAUUUAAGCUAAAAGCUAAAGAAAUCAGUAAAUGAAAUGUCAAACAAACUAUGAGAUCAAAGAACCAAUCUACAUAUUUAGAACCUACGCCAAAUUUGUUAUUUGUAAUUGAAACUAAUCAAACUACAAUAAGGGAGAAAAUCAAUAGUAGAAAAAUUAGCUAUGCCAAGAAGUCAUGCUGAUUGCUGCAAUUUCAGUACAUUUAAUUUAGCUUUACAGAUCUAAUGCAAGAGGCAUACAUAACACAGAAUCACGAUAAAUCAGAAAAAUAUCAGUUCAUAUAGUAAGAUUACUGUGAUGACAAAUAUGUCAAGAAGAACGGACCUGAGAUAGUCUUUUAAUUAGUGAAACUCAUCAGUUACAACAACUAAAUAGAAAUGAUGAUUCUGGAAUUGAAACCUUCAACGUGAAAACUUCAAACAAAAGCAGCGAAAUGCCACCUUUGACCUCAAACAAUGCCCCAAUCAGAUGAACUCGAUCUGACCUCAAACUUAAUCGAAUUCAUAGUCGAAAACCAAAAAUCAUAGAAGGAAAGGUGAAAAUCUAAACCAAAACCUUGAAAAUAUCGGCCCUCUCUGCCCGAAUUCUUCUGUCCGAUUUUCUCCUCUCUCGCUCCCUGUGUAUAUGCGGCUGUGUGUGUCGAGUUCCUGGCGUGGAGGAGAUGUGGUGGGUCUUAGGUUGAAGCUUAGGGUUGCGGCUCUUAUGAAGUGAAGAAGAAGAGCCGCUCCUGGAGGUGUCUUUCUCUUAGGGAUUUUUUUAGGGGUUUUUGGGUUAG